AUUGAACGCUGGCGGCAGGCUUAACACAUGCAAGUCGAGCGGGGAAAAGUAGCUUGCUACUGGACCUAGCGGCGGACGGGUGAGUAAUGCUUAGGAAUCUGCCUAUUAGUGGGGGACAACAUCUCGAAAGGGAUGCUAAUACCGCAUACGUCCUACGGGAGAAAGCAGGGGACCUUCGGGCCUUGCGCUAAUAGAUGAGCCUAAGUCGGAUUAGCUAGUUGGUGGGGUAAAGGCCUACCAAGGCGACGAUCUGUAGCGGGUCUGAGAGGAUGAUCCGCCACACUGGGACUGGGACACGGCGCAGAGUCCUACGGGAGGCAGCAGUGGGGAAUAUUGGACAAUGGGGGGAACCCUGAUCCAGCCAUGCCGCGUGUGUGAAGAAGGCCUUUUGGUUGUAAAGCACUUUAAGCGAGGAGGAGGCUACCGAGAUUAAUACUCUUGGAUAGUGGACGUUACUCGCAGAAUAAGCACCGGCUAACUCUGUGCCAGCCGCCGCGGUAACAC
rnacentral:rRNA from 1 species